GAGGGGGAGGGGCAUCUGAACUAGCAGGGUCUGGGGCUGACGGGUCAGCUGGUCACAGCGGGAAAUCAACACGCCCAGCCCGCCUGUACACAGGGUUUAGCUGUGGUGCUUUUUAGGAAGAAGUGGGAGGAUCUGUUUAAAUGGUUGGAUAACAGAGCAAUCUUGCCGCUAGCCAGUGUUACAAUUUUUUUAUUUUUUUUUAUUGUAACAAAAACUCGGACACACUCAGUCAUGCAAACAAUGAUGCGCUAUUUAGAUCUGAACAGUGGCUUGUGACACGUAGAGCCUAUAAGAGUAUCAGAGCUAGUGGAUGUUUAAAUAUCAGGCAUGAAUCUAAUUCAGUCCUCAGUGGAUGGUCGCUCUGAAUGACUCGGGUGACGGGGGCGUACAGAUGUUUUCCCUUGAGAUUUGUUUAGUACAGGAUCUCAAGUAAUGCAACACUAAAAACAACUAAAGCACAGCAUGAAGGUGCACUGCAUCUCAGAGCCUUGAUCAGGUUCCCCCAGGUUUUUAAUAGGACUUUUAUUAUUUGAUAUUUGGGGGGUGGGGGUUGGGGGGUAACAGGACAGGGAAUCAAACGCUAAAAUGCAUGGAGGCUGUACGGGGCAAACUAUCAAAAUAUAAAGUUGUUAACAUUAACACUUGCUUGGAAACGGGGCACUUGACCCCUGUGUGCUGCUGACCAGCUGACCAGUGUGUGCUUGCUCUCUCCCACUCUACUGUGCCUGCCUUCUGAAUCUGCAUCAUAACACCUGCAGCAAAAUAUGUAAUGCAUUAUUUAUUUAUUUAAUUGUAGCUAUCAUCUGUUCUAGAAAGCACAAAGUUAUUAAAAUAACAGCUAUUAACUUGCAUGUUUUAUGUAAAAAUGUUUAAUAUACAUCGUUGUGUGUCUGUAGAGUAUAAAUGUAUGUAGAUCAUUUAUUUUCAGUGUUUGUUUGCUUGUUGCCUGUUUAAACUGCUGUGCUUGAAUUGCAGCUGCAAAAGUCUCCUCGUAAGUGUGCUGGUGUGUCUGUUGAGCCCUUUCCCUGUCUGCUGGCUCCUCAUCUGUUUACAGGCCUUGCUAUACUUGAGCCUGCAGGCUGCAGCCGGCCUGUCGUCUCUGUCAGCCUAACGGUUUGAGUUUCUGUGCUCAGUGUCUUCAGAGUAUUACAUCACAGCUUUCUGGAAAAUAAGGGAACCUCAUAUUUCAGUUUUAUUGAAGUUGAUUUUCCUUCUCUGAAGUAGGAUUAUAUGAAUAAUAACAGUGUGGGCAUCAAGGCUGACCAAAUCUGAAAGCAAUGGCUGAAUUCCAGUACAGGGUUCAAUUCCAAUCUGGCCCUAAAUAAGGCAUAACUGUAUAAAUGUGGCAUCUGUUUGUUUGUUUGUCUGGUAAAAUAAGUAAUGACUGACUAGUCAAACUGAGGAGGCACAACAAGAUUUGUUUUUAAAAAAAUCCUUAUUUAUGUUUAAAUGUUUUAAAAGGGGGCCAGUAUCAGUCAACCAAAUAUAUAUUUAUUAAAUGAAUGCCUUGUUAAAUAAGAAAUAUAUAUAUAUACAUAAACUAUACUAGUGCAAACCCUGCUGGAUACCCACUAUUGCAUUCUCCUGAGCAAGGUGUCAGUUAUACUGUGCUGUAUCUUACCGAGGGGGCAGGUUGGUACAGGUUGAGUGCGAGGCUGCUGGAAUGGUGCUCUGGUACCAGGUUUGGCAAGCCCUGGGCGCAAUGCGGUAAAUUUGGCAUGCGGAAUCAAAUAAACGUCAGACGGCCUCUGUUCCUCUGCAGGUUCUACCCACACGCUCACCCCCACCAAAUUUCUAAUGGACCUGCAGCACCCGGACUUCAGAGAGUCCUCAAAGGUCUCAUUUGAGGAUCAGGCUCCCAAAGAGGAGUGAGGGGCACAAUGAAAAAGCUCCACCCAUGUCUUCACUCCCACGAAGUUACUCGAAGCUCUGAAGAGAAUGAAUAAACCAGACGAGGAGCAGCCAGCCAGCUAAAAACAAACAUCAAGACGCUCUUCUCUUCUGCUCCUUGCCAUUCCCCUUUCUUCCAGCAGAUAACUCCCCUAUCCUCCCUCUCCCGUCCUCCUUCACACCCGUUCUAGAACCCACCAACACCAACCAAUCAGAAGACCUGCUGUCUGCUGACAUCGUGGUGACAUCAUGACCUGUUUGCAUCGUGCUGAAACAGCAUGAUACAGCAUUUAAAAAAAUUACAAAACGUUUAAAAUAUUGAAACAAAAAGCAAGAAAAACAACGUUGCUCGUAAGCUGCUGGGUUCCUGCUUUGUUUGUUUCUUUGUUGAUGCAAUUGAGUUUAAGAAAUCAAACAUUUUAUGGCCAAUUCAUGCUGUAAUUACCAAAUGUAACAUUGCGUGCUCUACGAGGCCUGCUAGAAGCUGCAAGAGAGCUGCCUGGUCUCUCUGUCUUGCUCGAUAGUGUACACUUUCUGUUGUUUGUGAUGAUCGGUGGAGGAAUCAGUUAUGACCGGAGCCAGCCAGAAGGCCGCGAUGCUAAUGGCAGCCCAGAACACAGAAUACGAUGCGUUAGACUUCGGUUAGCCCCGAACCAAACUGGAGAUUCAUGACCUGCAAAAAAAUAUUGUUCGCUUUCAACUGUUACGCGAAGUUGUGUAGCUCUGAGCAGACCACAGACUCUUUCAAAACUGAGACGUCGUCAUUAAUUUUACUUUAUUUAUUUAUUUAUUUAUCUUUGGAGCUCAAGUUCUAAACCCAGUCGUUCCUGUUUAUUUUAGGUUUUUUAUUUUGUUAGUGGAAACAUGAGAGGCGGGCUCUGGCGCUCAGUCUCUGUGUGAUGGAGAUGUUGCUGCGGUCGCUGAUCGUUUGUCAGUCCAGUUUUAUUUUGUGUAGCGAAUGAAACCAGGGUCUGCACCACCAAGCAGACGACGCUUCUGUAUCCAGGUUUUCCAGAGAAGGAAGUGUAAAGCCAAGCAUACCCAAGGAAACAAAAACUGUCAGGAAACUUAAGAAUCGGGAAACUUUUUUUUUUGCAUAGUCACAUGAUCGAUGAGUCCUAGUCUCUCCUGAUUGGCCAAAAGCAAAACGUUUCUCAAAGCAGAACCCAGGUGUGCUCCGGUAAACGCAGACACGAGGAGACACUUUGUCUGGAAGCAUGUUUCUGCAGACGGAUCCUCAUGUAGGCUGGGCUUCGCAAAGAACUUCCGCUGAAAACGCUUUCACGAGCUCGGCUUUGUGCCGGAUUCCUCCAUCGAUUAACAAACAGAAGAACUUCUCCUGUAUAAAUAUAUAUAUAUUUAAAAAAAACAAAACAACGGAGUCCAUAUAUUAAACGUGUAGUGUCAAAGAGUUGAUUGCUUGCAAACUUUUCAAAUAAAAGGGCCAACCGGUAUUGUAAUUCAGUAUUGUAUUUAGUAAAAUGAAGUCCUAUUGCUAUGGUUAGUGUUGAAGUUUACUGUUCAUGCACUGAACUGUGUCGUGUGUAUGCUAUUCGCUGAUGUUAAGUCUCCCUAGUGAUAAUAUGACUGUGAAGUAGUGUAGCUUUCCUUUUGCUAGGACCUGUAUGUUCCUCCCCGCUGUGUCAGUGACGUGUUUAGCAAGCUGGAGUGGUUUAAUGAAAAUCUGUUCUUUUUGUUUGUUUGUUUGUUUGUUUGUUUGUGUACCGGAACAUCUUCCAUUAGUUAAAGGCUUUGGAAAUUCCUGAUUUCUUUUAUCUGUUUUGACAAAGGCUGUAAACGCACAGAGUGUUUUUUUUCCCUCUGCGAUGCUUAGACGUGUGGUUUUUUUUCCUUUCCUUUUCCAUUUUUUUUUUUUUUUUUUUUUUUUUGCUGUUGUAUAGCAACCACUGUGUCAUUGAUUCAUAUCAAAGUUAUUUAUCAGAGCAAAAAAAAAGAAAUCAAAGUGUGUCUGUCUUGAUCCCGUUUCUCAUGCUUGGAUUACACGUCUGCAAAGUGGUGAAGCACAAGCAGCUGUACUAUACAUGUACCUAUGUACUAAAGCUGUCUAAUAAAUUCACUUCCAUACAAA